UUCAAUGCCAAAUUUGCUGCUUCCUGCAUCCCACCAUAAGUUAUUAAAAAGAUGAGGUAGACAAUGAAUUACGAUAACAUAAGAGUAAAAGUUCAGGUUUAUUUAAUGUCAAUAUAAUUUAAAUGGCCUUUGUUAACCAAACAAUAUCACUACUGAGCUUUCGGAUGAUUUUUCAGACAUUUGAAUAUAGUAAAACUGUAUCUUAGAACUCCUAAGUUAACCUUUAAUCCAUCUGUUUAUGAGGUAUACACUAGCCAAUUCUAGAUGCUAAAAGAAGAUAACUAGAUACACAAAAUCAAUCGAAUCCCUAAUGAGUCAGCUCUUCAAUGCUGUCAAGCAUCUGAUGCAAUAACAGCCACAAAAAAUCAUAUAUGCCAACAAAGCUCCAGCUCAGACUUAAAUAGUAUCCGCCAAAUGGUUUCCCAAAGCAGUUAUGAGGUCAGAGCUUCAAACUUCAACACAGUUCACAUGGGAACAAUGAUAGCUUCAAGAAUUGAAAUUGAGCAUAGAAUAUGACUAAAGAAUUCUAGAAAAUACCUACAUGACUAUUUGAUUCAAACGCUAAAAGCUGACAGCUGAAAAUCCUAGCUUUCACUAUAGUUAUUAAAGGAUCAAGGCGCACUACGUCGCCAAGGAGUCCUGGAGCCUAAGCACAACACACAAGGUGCAGGCGCACACCUAAAUGAGUUGAGGUGCAAAGGUAAAAAUCGAUUUUAAAAAUCUAUAAAAGUCAAAUAAAUGUGAAUA
rnacentral:misc_RNA from 1 species